UCGUUUAAUGCAACAUAUCCGCUGUGCAGCGAAAAAUUGUGAGGUCCUAUGCAUGGGAUAGAUGUAAUAAUGAUACGAGGUACCCGGAAAGAAUACACAAGCAUUUAUGGGUCAUGAAAUACUGACUGUAAACAGCAAAAUCCAGUUCCCUCAGAUGGGUCACAGUCAUCAACAAAGCUUCUUUGGAUUUAUCGAGACAAGUUGAUCAACGAUGGAGCACGCAAGGAAACAGAAAAGAACCUUCACCCAUGUGUCAUAACAGAAUGUCCAAAUGAAUUGUUAACAGGCUACAUAAAUCUUUGGAUUAAUUUUACCAUGUUGGAGAACUACAACAAAAACAGAGAGAACCUACAGAACAGAAUAAGUAAUCGUCUACAACUCCACAUAGCAGCAAGAGAAAAACAAGGCCCACUUGCCAUGAAGAAAACAGUAAAAAAAAAUACAUGUCAGUGAUGUGUGUAUUAUUUAUACCAACAUGAAAUAUUAUUGAAAAUUUAUUAGAUUUUUUGACAUCAAAACAAUUCCACUGUAUGUAGAAAAGAAGGGGCAAUACAAAUGACAAAAGGAUUGUCUCAGUGACUAUUGGUAUUUUUUGUGCAAAUACUCCAUAAUUGUAUAUCAACACUGAUGUGGCUAUGGCACAAUUUUGGAUUAAAGGGUGUAGCAUCAAUGUUUGGUGUGUCAGUGAUUGACUAUGUGCAUGUG